UACAGAGGGUGCGAGCGUUAAUCGGAAUUACUGGGCGUAAAGCGUGCGUAGACGGCUAUCUAAGUCGGGUGUGAAAGCCCCGGGCUCAACCUGGGAAUUGCAUUCGAGACUGAAUAGCUAGGGUACGGUAGAGGGAAGCGGAAUUUCCGGUGUAGCGGUGAAAUGCGUAGAUAUCGGAAGGAACAUCAGUGGCGAAAGCGGCUUCCUGGCCUGUUCUUGACGCUGAGGCGCGAAAGCCAGGGGAGCGAACGGG
rnacentral:rRNA from 1 species